ACAGCAGUAUCUAAUUUAGGCCAAGAUCACAGCAGGCUUUCUGAUGUGUGACAGAAACUAAACGUCUGCGUUUGGCACAGUGCAGGGACCCUGACGCCAGCACGCGCGUGUGUGAGCUCCUGAAGUACCAAGGUGAGCACGGCCUCCUCAAGGACAUGCAGCAGUGGUCCAUCCCUCCGUUCCCCGUGAGUGGCCACGACAUCAGAAAAGUGGGCAUUUCUUCGGGAAAAGAAAUUGGGGCUGUACUGCAGCAGUUGCGAGAGCAGUGGAAGAGAAGUGGCUACCAGAUGGGAAAAGAUGAGCUUCUGGGUCACAUAAAGCAGCCCCCAAGUCCGUGAGAGCUGGCAGCGUGGGCAGGCCAUUUUGGCCAGUCAUGGCAUCUUUGUGUUCUGUGGGCACACAGCACUGUUUCUAUUAAAGCCCAGCUGAGAAGUGUGAAAAGCAGUGCAACGGGCAGUGGAGCAGGAAAGGGCGCCCCAGCACUACUGCACACAGGUCAGUAACUAAAGCGACUGUGACGUAUCACAGCGAGAUACCUAAGGACUGCUGACAUCACAGAACGCCUGCUGGUCUAUAUAGGGGCUGCGUAGACUUAGCCGUUUCAGCGGUCUGGUCUAGUCAUGUAGAAAGCACUGUAAAAUCGUAUUUAUGCAUAUUUUCAUGUUUUAGGAAGUUUAUUUGCAAGUGAACAGCAUUGAACUUCUGAGAUUACAUCCUUCAGGGACAAAUGUAAAAGCCACAGUCCAUCACCGCAGUGGGUUCAGGCUUCGGGGGAAAGAAAAAGACGUGCUGUGUGCUACUGCUGAAAAGGACUGGGCUCCACUCAGAGGACGUUUGAGUCCAGUAGGACUGUGAACACCAGCAGUCAUACAACCAGCCCAGGGCUGGUGUCAGGCCGUAACCCAGGUCAGCGUCACACUCACAGUGAAGCAGGGAACACUGCAGUCAGGCGGGGCAUGUGCUAAAGAACCGACAGCAGUCUCAAGUAGCUUUUCAUUGACUUUACAGAAACGUGCAACGUGGUAUUCAGUUGAUAUUUUCAACCUAGGCAAUCAAAACCAUUGCAUGUUUGGUAAAAGACAAAAUCUUGCUAAAUUAAAACAUAAGGAAUUUAACAGUCUCUUUACCUGAUUAGUUGAACUCUCCAGUGAAUUAUGUAAAGCAGUGAAGGAAUAUCAAAAUCAAAGUUAGAUCCACAAAUGGGAGAAUGGCCAAUAAACCCUUGACUGUGUGAGCAGAGGCAGGUGGCUAUCUACAAUAGCACUUUACCUCAGACGUUAGUUCUUAUACCUAAAUUAUCUGCUUAUGAGUUUACAUUAUUUAAACAAAGAACACAUUUAAUUUAGUUUUGCUCUUAGUUUACUUACAGGUUUUCCUGAAUUUACACUGAACAAGGCAGCCUAAAAAUACAGUAGCACUUCUAGCCUGUAUGACGGGGACGCACGGCGGCAUCGCUGCUCCCCAGUAGUUUAGGUUCAAGUUAAACGGAGCAGGCCAACCAGUGUUGCGUUUCAAACACUGAGCAGAUACACAAAGCACUAUUCUUUUACUAACAAACAUGUAAGACCAUGAAAACUUUAUUCUGGGGCUCAAACUGUGUAUUUUAACUCUUUAAUAUUUUCAAAAUUUACAAAUCAGUGUCUCAGGAACUGAAAGUUGAAAGGAACAAAGUCUUUU